rnacentral:sRNA from 1 species
GUGAGGAUGAAUCUCUACACUCACUGCGUCAAAGGGCUGGUGCUGUCCCUGCUGGCUGAGGAGCCGCUACUGGGAGACAGCGCAGCCAUAGAGGAAGUGUACCACAGCAGCCUGGCUUCGCUGAAUGGGCUGGAAGUCCACCUGAAAGAGACGCUGCCCAGGGAUGAGGCAGCCUCCACGAGCAGCACCUACAACUUCACACAUUAUGACCGCAUUCAGAGCUUGCUGAUGGCAAACCUGCCGCAGGUGGCCACCCCGCAGGAUCGCCGCUUCCUCCAGGCCGUCAGCCUGAUGCAUAGCGAAUUUGCCCAGCUGCCCGCGCUUUAUGAAAUGACUGUCAGAGCACUGAAAAAAACAAGUAGCAACAGAAGACAGACUUACAAGGGCACUAAGUCUCUGGUCACUCAAGGACCAAUCAAAGGAAUGCGCUGUUAGGCCAGAAAGGAGUCUCUGAAGCAAAUGAUUGGAAGG